UACGAAGGGGGCUAGCGUUGCUCGGAAUGACUGGGCGUAAAGGGCGCGUAGGCGGUUUGUACAGUCAGAUGUGAAAUUCCUGGGCUCAACCUGGGGGCUGCAUUUGAUACGUGUGGACUGGAGUGGGGAAGAGGGUCGUGGAAUUCCCAGUGUAGAGGUGAAAUUCGUAGAUAUUGGGAAGAACACCGGUGGCGAAGGCGGCGACCUGGUCCUUGACUGACGCUGAGGCGCGAAAGCGUGGGGAGCAAACAGG
rnacentral:rRNA from 1 species